AAAAAUUAUCUUAGUUCGGAUUGUUUUCUGCAACACGGAAACAUGAAGUGGGAAUCGCUAGUAAUCGCGUAUCAGCAUGAUGCGGUGAAUACUUUACAAACCCUAGUACACACCGCCCGUCACGCGGCGGAAAUUGGCACUGGCAGACAUAAGCUGGGGGUUGUUUAGUUUAUUUUUACCCAAACAGUAAUAAUUAUUACUGUUUGUUUUUUUGUUUUUUUGUCGUUAUUAAAUAAAAUGUUCGUUGCUAUAAUAGCAACUGCUUAUAACCCUGGGGUUAAAGACUGCUGCGAAGUCGUAACAUGGUAGUCGUAGGGGAACCUGUGGCUGGAAAUAAAUUGUUAUUAAAUAAUAUUUAAUUAGUUUGCUUUAUUUGUGAUUGUAAAUGAUGGAGUGUAGCCAAG
rnacentral:rRNA from 1 species